GUGUGAUAGGGGAAUUUUAGUGCUUACAAAUUGGUAAGCUUUGCCAAGAGUAAACAUCUUGGAGAAUAAGUGGUGGGCAAGACUGGUGCCAGCCGCCGCGGUAACACCAGCGCCACGAGUAGGAGCCGCUUUUAUUUGGCCUAAAGCAUCCGUAGCCGGAUUUGCAAAUCCUUUGUGAAAUUGUUGGGCUUAACCUAACAGCGUGCAAAGGAGACUACAUUUCUUGAGAUUGGAGAGGAGUUAGAGGUAUUCUAUGGGGAGCGGUAAAAUGCUAUAAUCCUUAGAAGACCACCUGUGGCGAAGGCGUCUAACUAGAACAAUUCUGACGGUGAGGGAUGAAAGCUGGGGGAGCGAUCCGGAUUAGAUACCCGAGUAGUCCCAGCUGUAAACACUGUGAGCUAGGUGUUGCAUGGUCUUCGUGACUAUGCAGUAUCGUAAUGAAGAUGUUAAGCUCACCGCCUGGGGAGUACGGUCGCAAGACUGAAACUUAAAGGAAUUGGCGGGGGAGCACUACAAGGGGUGCGGCGUGCGGUUCAAUUCAAUUCAACGCGGGAAAUCUCACCAUGGGCGACGGCAGGAUGAAGGCCAGUCUAAAGGGCUUGCCUAACAAGCCGAGAGGUGGUGCAUGGCCACCGCCAGCUCGUGCCGUAAGGUGUCCAUUUAAGUAUGGUAACGAGCGAGACCUGUAUCUACAUUGCUAACGAUUUCUUUUGAAAGAUCGAGCACAUUGUAGGGACUGCCUUGGAAACCAAGGAGGAAGGUGCAGGCACGGUAGGUCUGUACGCCCCGAAUCUCAUGGGCACACGCGCGCACAUGGUAAUGACAUGGGACACGACUCCGAAAGGAGAAGUUAAACCUCUAAACAUUAUCUUAGUCCAGAUUGAGGAUGUACUCAUCCUCAUGACGUUGAAUCCCUAAACCAGGU
rnacentral:rRNA from 1 species